rnacentral:lncRNA from 1 species
UUAAGGACAUUCAGGUCGAAAACAGCAGAGAAAAAUCAGUUUCUCCUAAAGACAGAUUGGAUGAUAGAAAUGACAAUGGGAAUGUGGAGAGUAAUAACCUGUCAGUGCCUACUGAGCCGGACUCUGCAAAACCAAGUCAUUUCAAAAGUGAUUAUGAGAAUGCGGAGAGUAAUAACCUGUCAGUGCCUACUGAGCCGGACUCUGCAAAACCAAGUCAUUUCAAAAGUGAUUAUGAGAAUGCGGAGAGCAAUAACCUGUCAGUGCCUACUGAGCCGGACUCUGCAAAACCAAGUCAUUUCAAAAGUGAUUAUGAGAAUGCGGAGAGCAAUAACCUGUCAGUGCCUACUGUGGCGGACUCUGCAAAACCAAGUCAUUUCAAAACUGAUAAUGGGAGUUCAUAUGUAUCAUCUCCAGUUCCUGGCGAUGACAUAACUGUACCUGAAGUGACUCUCCAACCCGUUCAGUCUCCGUCUAUCGCGAGAUCAUUGGAAAACUUUACUAUCUACACUGGCUCUGAAGCUGAUAAUUCCAGAGUGUCCGAAAA